rnacentral:rRNA from 1 species
UACGAAGGGUGCAAGCGUUGUUCGGAAUCAUUGGGCGUAAAGCGCGCGCAGGCGGAUCAGUAAGUCAGAUGUGAAAUCUCGAGGCUCAACCUCGAAACUGCGUCUGAAACUACUAGUCUAGAGUGUCGGAGGGGGGAAGGGGAAUUUCACGUGUAGGGGGUAAAAUCCGUAGAGAUGUGAAGGAACACCGGGGGCGAAGGCGCCUUCCUGGACGACUACUGACGCUGAGGCGCGAAAGCGUGGGGAGCAAACAGG